AUUGAACGCUGGCGGCAUGCCUUACACAUGCAAGUCGAACGGUAACAGGUCUUCGGAUGCUGACGAGUGGCGAACGGGUGAGUAAUACAUCGGAACGUGCCUAGUAGUGGGGGAUAACUACUCGAAAGAGUAGCUAAUACCGCAUGAGAUCUACGGAUGAAAGCAGGGGAUCGCAAGACCUUGUGCUACUAGAGCGGCUGAUGGCAGAUUAGGUAGUUGGUGGGAUAAAAGCUUACCAAGCCGACGAUCU
rnacentral:rRNA from 1 species